rnacentral:rRNA from 1 species
AUGGCUUUUGCUUCUUCCUCUACGGAAUCCCAUGUCCUCCCUCACAUAGCAAUCUUCCCCUUCAUGGCCAGGGGCCACACCAUCCCGCUCAUCCAGCUUGUCCACCACCUCCGUCGUCGCCGCCUCGCCACCGUCACCUUCUUCACAACCCAUGGCAACGCGGCCUUCGUCCGCGAGGGACUGUCCGGGGCCGACGAGACGGCCAUCGUCGAGCUCGCGUUCCCCGCCGACGUUUCGGGCAUCCCACCGGGCGUGGAGAGCGCCGAGGCGGUCACGUCCAUGGCCUCCUUUGUCGCCUUCGCACACGGCGUGUCGCUGCUCCAGCCACAGCUCGAGGCGUCGCUCUCCGCCAUGGAACCUCCGGCCAGCCUCCUCAUCGCCGACGCGUUCCUGUACUGGACGAACGCGUCGGCGGCCACGCUCGGCGUCCCGAAGGUGUCGUUCUUCGGCAUCUCUGCGUUCGCACAGGUCAUGCGGGAGCUACGCAUCAGCCACGAUCCGUUCCCGGCGCUGCAGCACGCCGACGUCGACGGCGACGGCAAUCCGGCGACGUUCGCGGUGCCUGAGUUCCCGCACAUCAAGCUCACGUUGGAGGACUUGAUGGCGCCCUUCGGCGACCCGUCGUCGGUCGCGCCGAUGAUGGAGCUGGACGGCAAGCUGGGGAAGGCCAUAGAGGAGAGCCAUGGCCUGAUCGUCAACACCUUCCAAGGCCUAGAGAAACCGUACAUGGAGUUCUGGAACAAGCACUACAGGCCCACGGCCUGGGCCAUCGGCCGCUCUGCCUCUCCCAGCCCCCGUCUUCUUUAUCGGGCGACGCCGGCCGGCCAUCAUGGAUGGAGUGGCUGGACGAGAAGGCAGCCGCCGGCCGGGCCGUGCUGUACGUGGCGCUCGGGACGCUGGCCGCGAUCCCGGAGGUGCAGCUGA